rnacentral:lncRNA from 1 species
GCACAACCAGCCUCGCUGCGGACUUCGCACCGCGCGCCACUGUGAUUGGUCCUCGCUGCUGUCAUUCCCCCGAGACGGGGGCGGGGAGAGUCUGACGUCACCGGGAAAGGUGCUGCUAGCAGAGUUUUAUAUACUCUGAUCAUCUUUAUACUGGACUUGUUACUGAAUCUUUUGGAGUGGCUGGAGCCUGAGGACAAGGACACAAGCAGCAGGACAGAUGCAAGAGAAAAGCAGGUGAAGCCACAACCAGAUCAGCAUGCUGCUGUUUCAGGAGGGAAGUAUGGCAUUUAUCUGUGGUCAGAACACAGUGGGUCUCAUCCUAUCUCAAAGUGUCAUGACAAUACUGGCCCAAAGCAGAUGCCUGCUGAAUCUGCAAGUCUUACAAACAUCCAGCUCGGCUGUUCACCUAUGUCCAAAAUGAUGUACAGACCUGGGAGGCAGCUGCCUAAACUAUCACGCAUGUCCCAUCAGUUGCCCAGAAAACAGGCUCUUCAAAACCACCACCAAGUGAAACCAGCCCAAACUGAUGUGUUGAAGGAGAAAGUCACAAGUGUUUCAUCUCCAGUCAAACCAUUCUCUGCUCCUUCCCAGCAAUUUCCACCUCUCCCACCAAGAAGGCUGUAUGUGAAACCAUCAUCACUGCAUCCCAUCUACGUCAGUCUGUUAUGAGCCCCCCAUGCUGGAGCAAUGGAACCUUGUCCACGAAGGGUAAAAAGAGGUUAUCAUAUGACAGGGAAUCAUCACAAAUCUCCCCAGCAUCUGCCUGCUGCCAUAUGUAGAGAGGAAGGAAGCAGAGCAUCACUCAACAUUGUGAUAUUGC